rnacentral:rRNA from 1 species
UCGGGAAUUUUGGGCAAUGGGCGAAAGCCUGACCCAGCAACGCCGCGUGAGGGAUGAAGUAUUUCGGUAUGUAAACCUCGAAAGAAUGGGAAGAAUAAAUGACGGUACCAUUUAUAAGCACCGGCUAACUUCGUGCCAGCAGCUGCGGUAAUACGAAGGGUGCAAGCGUUACUCGGAAUUACUGGGCGUAAAGCGUGCGUAGGUGGUUCGUUAAGUCUGAUGUGAAAGCCCUGGGCUCAACCUGGGAAUGGCAUUGGAAACUGGCGGACUGGAGUGCGGAAGAGGGUAGCGGAAUGCCCGGUGUAGCAGUGAAAUGCGUAGAGAUCGGGAGGAACAUCCGUGGCUAAGGCGGCUACCUGGACCAGCACUGACACUGAGGCACGAAAGCGUGGGGAGCAAAC